AACUUUCGGCAAUGGAUCACUUGGCUCUCGCAUCGAUGAAGAACGCAGUGAAAUGCGAUAAGUAAUGUGAAUUGCAGAAUUCAGUGAAUCAUCGAAUCUUUGAACGCAUCUUGCGCUCCUUGGUAUUCCGAGGAGCAUGCCUGUUUGAGUGUCAUCAAAGUCCUCAAACCACAUUGAUUGUUUUUCGAUGUGGCUUGGAUGUGGGGGUUUUUGUUUGCAGGCUUCAGAAAAUGAAGUCUGCUCCCCUGAAAUGCAUUAGUGGUAUCUGAGCAGAAAAACUACUACAGGUGUGAUAAUAUAUCUAUGCCUUGGUAAAAUGUGCUGCAUGGAACAGAUUGCGCUGCUUCUAACACAGAACUUUAUAUUAUUUUGGAGACCUCAAAUCAGGUAGGACUACCCGCUGAACUUAAGCAUAUCAAUAAGCGGAGGCU
rnacentral:misc_RNA from 1 species